rnacentral:tRNA from 1 species
GGGAAUAUAGCUCAGUGGUACAGCAUCUGCCUGACAAGUGCAAGUCUCUGAGUUCAAUUCCCAGUACCA